rnacentral:rRNA from 1 species
AAGUCCCGUAACGAGCGCAACCCUCGUCUUUAGUUGCUACCAUUUAGUUGGGCACUCUAAAGAAACUGCCGGUGAUAAGCCGGAGGAAGGUGGGGAUGACGUCAAGUCCUCAUGGCCCUUACGCGCUGGGCUACACACGUGCUACAAUGGCGGCGACAGUGGGCAGCAAACUCGCGAGAGUGAGCAAAUCCCAAAAAGCCGUCUCAGUUCGGAUUGUUCUCUGCAACUCGAGAGCAUGAAGGCGGAAUCGCUAGUAAUCGCGGAUCAGCAUGCCGCGGUGAAUACGUUCCCAGGCCUUGUACACACCGCCCGU